GGCAGCAGUCGGGAAUCUUGCACAAUGGGCGAAAGCCUGAUGCAGCAACGCCGUGUGAGUGACGAAGGCCCUAGGGUCGUAAAGCUCUGUUUGCGAGGACGAAGGGCGAAGGGUUAAUAGCCCCUAGCCUGACGGUACUUGCACAGAAAGCCCCGGCUAACUACGUGCCAGCAGCCGCGGUAAU
rnacentral:rRNA from 1 species